CUAAAAUUGUCGACAACCCCGCAAAUGGGAUGGCUUGUAAUGGAUCAAAUUGCUUAGAUCAUAUAAGAAUACAAUUCGGCGAAGAUAAAUGAUGAUCAUAGUCCGUUGGUGACUUUGGUGUAGAGGCACAUCAGCGGCGGGGUUACCACCAUUUAUGGUAUCAAAAUCAAGCUUCUAAUUUCAAAAGAUGGCGAUGGAGGUUCCUUGAUAAAUUCUCCGGCCGGAGGUAUUUGAAGGGUUUAGGCUCGAUCUUGAUACCAUCAAUGGUGGCGGCACUACCCUUCACGGGCUGCAUUACAUCGACACCCUAUCAUAAUAGUUAGCUCCAAAUUUAUCCAAUUCCUCAGGUUGCUAAUCCAAAUUAUUAAACCAGGUAAUCCUUUUUACAAUUUUCUGUGACUUUUAAUUUAGCAGGUAUGCAGGCUGGCAAAGCCACCAAAAUUAUAAAGUUAAUUUCACCAAUCGUCAUUAAGUUUGGUCAUUAAAGUAUUUUUCCUACUCUAUUAGUCACUGCAAUUUAAAAUUUUCACAAAUGAUCAUUCCAUUGAAAAAUUACUUGUAUAAUCGGCCAUACUGCUAUUAACUUUGACGUGUUGCACUAAACAUUAUAAUUACACCAAAAUUAAAAUAUAUUUUUAAUAAAUACAUCACAAUAAAUUUACAAUUAUACUCCUAAUUCAAUAAAAAUAAAAAAUUGAAAAAGAACAUAAUAUAAUAUUGUGAUGUACAUAUCACCCAUAUUAAUUCUCAUUUUCUCAAUCUUUCCCCUCAUUUAUUGCAUAGCAAUUUUGAAAACAGAAGAUCGGUGAAGAACACCAUGCAAUAAUAAAUAGAAUGUUUGUCAUAAAUAAUUAAUAUGUCCAAAAGGAUCCUUUGAAAUUGUCAGUAAUUUUUUUGUGUUAUCAUUUUUAAUCGAAAUAUGAAUUUUUAAUGUAUUCGCAAUUUCAAUUUUUAAUCUUGGAAGUCUAUUUUGGAAACACUUUUAAGUGGAAUUAAGAAAUUUUACCAACAACCACAUUAUAAUCUCAUGGAUAAAAAUGUUAUAAUAAUUCAUCGGACACAUAUAAAACCCAACUUGAGGAAGCAUUUAUGACAUGUGUUGAUAAACUGGACAUGUUUCAUAAUUGAAUUAACAGAUAUAGAUUUAAUAUUCGAUUUAUUCAUACUUGGUCAGCAGUAUCAUUUUCCUAACAUUUAGAACAAAUAAAUUGAAUUAUGAUAAAUUAUAAAAAAUUUAAAUCCUGUAAAAAAAUACAAUAUAACAAUAAAAACUCCUUGUUGAUUAAGAACAACUUUUGGAAAUUCAUAUGCCUCAUAGACAAAAAUCUACGAAAAUUGACGCACCUACAUAUACACAAAUUCAUUUACAGUUUAUCUAUAUACCAUGAGGGAACAGAUUAUCUUGUCGUCGUGGAAGAAGAAAAAAGUCGUCGGAGAAACUAUGAACAAUGAGAUGUUGCGGAAAAAGAACGAAAUAAAUUAGGUUUUAUAUUUGUUGUGUAACAAUAAUUUAUUAAUUAAAAAAUAUAUUAAAAUUCUAAUAAUGUAAUUUUAUUUAAGGAUAUUUUAGUAAAUAAGAAAAUUGUGAUACAUGUAGUAAAAUUUAUAGUAGUAAUAUAAUUACCUUUAAUGAGUGGUCAAUUUUUGGGAUCACUUUAAUAAAAUAUGAGCAAGAUUGAUUCCCGUGACCUAACUUUCACAUUUUUUCUCAAGUCACGGAUAGAAUUUGACCAUUUGAUGAAAGACAGAUUUGGAAUUUUACUUGUGUUAAUUGAUUUUAACAUCUUAUAAUUGACGACGACAAGUCAGGUCAUACAUUAUUGGGUAUUGCUGUUUGUACAAUCCAUGUUGUGAGUGGGGUUCGUGAUUAUUUUAAUCGUGAACCCUAUUUCUUGCAUGUGAGUGUAUUAUGAACCAUGAUAUGAAUAAUGUUGUACCCAUAGUCAGUGGCGAAUCCAGGACUUCGACUCAACUAGGGCGAUCGUUAUCUGUCAAUAGUUCACGAUCGUAUAGCGAUAUCAUUUAUUAAUAUUAAAUUAAAUAAUAUUAAAAAUUCUUCGAUCUAUAUGUUAAUAUAUUAAAGCGUAAAAAUGGUAUAUUUUAUAAUAUUAUAUUUUCAUACAAUCCGAAAUAAUAUAAAUUACAUAAUACAUAAGACUUCUUUGUGUUAUCAAUGUUUAACAAAUCGUUUGCUUGACUAAAAGUAGUUGAGAGAUUAGAUACACCACUACAAGAACUAGAUUAAAAUUCAGUUGAAAAAAUCAUUCCAUAAUUAGUAUGAGAAUUGAACGUUAAUCAAAGAUUAAACGUAAUUAAAAUUAAUUUUAAAAUAUAAUUAAAGUUUCAAUUUUCAAUUCUCAACACUCAUUUUUAAUUUUCAUGAAUCACAUAUUCACAUUUCACGAUACUCAAAUUAAUUUUUAAUAUCACAAUUCACAAUAGACAAAUUCUCAAAUAACAUAUAAAUUAAAACUCAAUACUCAUAAGUCAUAUCUUAUUAAUUAUUAAAGCAUAAAAUAUUUAAAACCAAAAUUUAAAAAAAAAAAAAACUUUUGUAAAGUCUUAACAUAUAUUAUUUUGUUAAAUUUCAAUUCAAAAUUCAACCAUUCCUAUGAUGAUUAAGCUUCCAAUCAUCCUAACUUUAGAAGUUAUAGGUUCAAAUCCUUUCUUUAGGGAAUUGAUUUUGGUAAAUAUUGUAGAAAUAAAAAUUUUACACAAUGAGAUGGAGGGGAAGGAAUCGAACCCAAGACUCACAAUAUAUAAAAAAAAAAACUCUAACCAAUUAAGCAAAAGAAAGAUUUGAAAAUAAAAUAAAUCAUUAAUUAUAUAACCUAAAUCUUUCAUUUAUUACCAACAAAAAAAAAUAAAAAUUCUUCUUGACGAAUCCAGCUAGGGCCGCCCUAGCUGGCCACAUACUAAAUCCGUUACUGCCCAUAGCAUGAUUCUACAUUAUUAUUNGAUUUUGACAAAGUUCGAUGACCAUUUAGGGACGAAGUGAAGUUCGGUGACCUCCUAGGAAAAAUUGGCAAAAUUCGGUGACCAUUGGGGGGAUUUCCUCUAAUAGACUAUUUCAAAGUGCCAAAACUUCCUUAGUCCUCGGGUAACAUUAUUGCCCCGCCCCAGAUGGUAAACAGGUAUGGUUCCUACCUCGAAUUUCUCGAAUCCACUCAGAGUCUUUUUAUAUUAAUUUUAAUUUAAAAUCAUAUUUUAUGAUAUUAAAAAUAACAUUUAAAAUAAAGGUAUAAUUAAACGGGAUUAUUAAAUAAGAAUUGUUUAAUCUCUACUUGUCCCGUCCUACCCUGUCCUGAAACGUGGAAUUCUUUCCACACUUCAAGAGUGAUCUAUCAGCCAAUUAGCGAUCAGCCGUAGCAAGUGCCUCUUUUGAGGGGUCAUCCAACUGCAUCCUCAACAUAAUGUCUACAUCUCAAAUGCUCCUAGAGGAAGGAUGAUAGUAACGACAUUGGCGAAUAAGAUGAUCUGCUUCGAGAGGUUGCCGGUGGUCCGUGUCACUUCAUUCCCUGAAAUGGAAAAGAAUGUCCCACUGGUCAGAUCUCAUAUAUUUUUAUUUCAAGUUUCUUUGAUAUGGACUAAUUGUAUUUCUUUGUUCAUAUUGCCUUUCGUCAAUGUGAAUGAUGUUUUAUGAUUGAAAUUUAAUAAUAAUAAUAAUAAUAAUAAUAAUAAUAAUAACUGCCAAAACUCCCUUAGUCCGCUGUUGCAUCAUUAAUGCAACUAAUUGUAUAGUUAUAAUUGAAUAAUUUGAAUUAUAUAUAAAAAUUUGACUUCUAAGACUCAAUGAUGUAGCGCAAUAAAAAGUGAAGAACAAUAUCGAACCACUUCCCAGGGCCGGUCCUGUGGCGAGGCCCAUGAGGCCAGCGCCUCAGGCCCAAAACCACUGGGGGCCUAUUUUUGGACUUAUUAUUAUUAUUAUUAUUUUGGAAUUGUAGUAAGGAAAAUCAGUGUGCGUUUUUUCUCAUCUUCCUUCUUUUCAUUUUGUGGUUAUCGCUUUCUGCUCCUUCUCCAAUUCGUUCUUCUCCUCCUCAUUCCUCAACCCGUCAAUCGGUGGUGGAAACCGUGGGUCACCAGAAUUCUCCACCAUAGCCCCCUCCGCAGGCGACGGUUCCAAGCUCCUCAACCACACGUGACACUCGGUCGACGGUCUCUCCCUACAAUUUGUCCCACUCCCAUAAAUUUAGAUUUGCUGUUUCAAAAGUACAAUUUCACCUUUCUUUAAUUUGGGUUUUUUUCUCAUCUUAUCUUGUUCGAAAAUUUUUGAGAAUUAGGGUUUGAUUAACACAGCUGACUGGAGGCAACAGUGAUGAUAUGAUCCCUAAAAGUUUUGAUUUAUAAAUGACCAAAAUUAGUGAAUAAUAUUAAAAACAAAAUCAUGAAAAAAUAAACCAGUAGAAGAGAAUAUAAAAAGAAUUUGAUUCGCUUUUUCAUCAAUAUACAGUGGCAAUCAUCUAUUUUAUUCUGUUGCUGUCUAAUUGAAGUAUAAUUUUAUCCUUGCUGAUGUUCUUCUAUUUAUAGGCAGCAGGCUGCUGCAGCUUGCGGGAUUAAAUGCAAAUGGCAAGAAAAUCGUCGCACGAGCAAAAUUUGAAGUAACUAACUAUAAGAGGUUUAGUUUAUUGCUAUCUUGCAUACUGCUCUGUAUCUGUCUUCUAAUUUUUUUCUAGUAGAAUUAAUAUGUUGUAACUUACUGAGCGAAGAGACUGAAAGCAUUGCGUAGUCUCUCUUUCCCUCCUUGACCUCCCAAAAAGCACCCACUCAUUUGUCUAAGACUGGUUCUGGAGACUGAAGCAUGAUUAUGCAUAUGUUACCGUUAUGUAUAUAUCAUCUUAAAGGAGAAAUAUGACCCUUGUACUCCAUAACCAAAGUAAAAAAUUAGAUUUUCCUGACUUAAGCCUCUAUAUUGCUGUAGGACUACCGUGGUCAAUGAUUUUUUAUUAUAAAGGACACAAAUUUGAUCAUAUGGAGUUGAAGAAUAGGAAAUUAAGAUUAUUUGUCUUCACUAGGGAUUGGAAUAUGAGAAACAUUGAUUUAAAGUUUUAUAAUAUUCAAGAUAGCUAACAAAUGGAGGAUGCAUGCUGAAAACUUUAUUGUUAAUAAAGAGAUUAUACAAUUAUUCUAGCGUAUAUAUGUUGAAGAAGACUGCAUCAUUUAAGAGCAAUUUAUCCACUUGUAUGGAAACAUUCAAUUUUAGAAAAGACCUUCAACUAGUGAAAACAAAGGUGUGAUUCUAUAAUUUUCAUUGAAAUUUUACUUCUUAGGUAAGCAAUGGCUUGUCCUAACUUGUCAACUCAUAGAAUUGCGGCCUGAUCGAUUUAUAUAAUUGGUUAUUGUAGGAGCAAUAGCACAGAUGCACAUAGUAACUAUAUUGAAAACUCUAAUGUAUUCAUAUUGCACAUGGCAGAAUAGACUGUCUAUGUUAUCAAUAGGGAAAGAAAUUGUUGAGCAGCUAAAUUAUUUAGAUUUGAUUAAUGUAUUUACUUCUAAAACAACAAGGCGAAUAGUAUUUAGCUAAUUGUUUAAAAUGUUGUUGGUUUUGUUAUUUUAUAAUAUAAAUCUUUUGUAUAAUAUAUUUGUUUUUAAUAUUAAGUUUUAAGUUAGCAAUACGUUUCAUAAUACACCGUUGCAUUUAAGUUGAUUUUGGGGGCCUCAUUUAUGGACUUCGCCUCAAGCCCUGACAAUCACAAGACCAACCUUUUGAGCUCAUACUACUUGUUGGAAAUUAUAGUUGUUUAGACCCAAAUGCGAAUUGGAAUAACUAAAAGCAACAAGUCACUUAUUAAUUGGUUUCUUAACGAUUAAGGUAAUUAAUCCAAUUUAAUUAAUCAUAUAUGUAAAUGAAAUAAAAUAAAUAGAGAACAAAAGUAAUAAAGAGCAUCAAACAUGAUUAACAGGGAGAAUCACGUCCCUGCUUUUUAAGAUUUUUGUAGAAAACAUCGCUACCUUCCAUUUUUUGGCAAAUUUCAUCCUCAUCUUUAACUUUUAUUGUGGGAAACAUCAUUCCGUCCACUUACCGUUAAAAUGCUCCGUUAAAUCAAUUAAAAUAGAAUUUUUCUUUUCAAAAGGCAAGAGUAACAUUGUCCAAACCUAUUUUUCUUUGCUUUCCUAGAUUUCACUGCAAUUUAUCAAUAAAAUUCAAAUCAUAUUUUGUAAUGAUUCUGUAAAUACAAAACAUAUUUUUCGCAUAAUUCCUUUGCUUUCCCGGAUUUCAUUGCAAAGGAAUAAAAGGAAAUAUUGUUCAUUAAAUGUAACAUUUGAUAUAAUGAAGUGCUUACAAAAGAGAAGCAAUUAUGGGGGAAGAUAAAAGAAAAAGAGACUGCUAAUUACAAUGGCUUAUUUAUAAUUACUUAUUUUUGCCUUUUCUUCUUGUAGAUACAAGAUGUUUGGGAUUUGGAGUUUGUAAGAAUAAUGUAGAAAUAUAUCAUUUGAAUUUUGUAUUAUACUGUGCUUAAAUGUGUGGUUGUUUAUCCUCAUUUUGUGCUUACGAAGGAGGUAAAUAAAAGGUAAAGUGAGAAGACCAAUUAAAAUGUAAUUUUGUGAAUGGAUACAGAUGGAGAAGAUGAACAGAAAUAGUCUAACCCUAAUAAGUAGAAAAAAAUCAUAACAUCGUUUAAUAAGAAAAAUUGACAACAAUGAUUAUAAUCAUCAAUAAAAGACAUAUAAUAUCUAUCCCCUACUUUUGUAACAAUGGAAAUAGUCCCCGUACAAUAAAGUAAACGAAAUCAAAUGAUGCAACAGAACGAGAAACACUUCAAGAAAAAGGUAAAGCGGAACAUUUAGCUAGUUUGCAACCACUACAAUCAGAAAUAUCAUAAGUUUACAAAUCUCUCAAUUGACCUUUAGAAAUUAAAAAUUUUAAACGACUAGCAGAAAUAUAUUAAAAGUGAGAAUGCAACAAACAAAAAUUAGAAGAAGAGGAAUUCAAAGAAAAACAUGACAAAUCAACACCAAAAGCUGCAACGUAUGGUAGUCUCAUACGAUCCAAAACAUAUAAUCUUCAUUUAUGGCUUGUUCCAAUCAACUUCUGAGAUUGAAAAUCCAGCAUAUGACAAGCAGUAUGUUAAAAUUUAGGGGUCAUUUUUAAAAUAUCAACCUUAUUAAGAGAAGUAUAGCCAAACUCUUAUAAGUUGUUCUUUAUUUUUAUCUUUAAUUGAUGUUUUAUCCCCUAACAUAUUGAUCUUGCUUCGUAAUAAAUCGUGAACUAAUUGUAUAUAGAGUCAAAUUUUAACGAGACAGUUACACCAUCCGAGUAGAAAAACAAAAGAAGUUAAUAAAACGGACUACUCAACAGAGUUGUGAAUCCAAGUAAGAACUUUCGCAUUGUUUGACCUGCAAUAUCUAACUCCAUCACAUAAUUAUCAUAAGUGCUCUUGGGUUUCACAAUAGUUCCGCUAACGGAACCCCACAAUCUUUUUUCCUUAAGAAAAUUCCUUAUUACGAUACUCUAAUAUGAGUAAUUUUUACCAUUUAAUCUGACUCUAAUGGAUCGAAGCGAAUAAUCUCUUUCAGUUGCCAUUUGAAAUAAAGAAGCAACAAUUGAAUACAACCGAACAGCAAUAUUUAUCAAUUAAAACCCAACAGCCAACUGUGAUCAUCAAACUAGCCCAAAAUAAUAAAUAGUAGCCCAAAACAUUUAUCGCCAAGCCAAAGAGCAGCUCAAAAUAGUUUGAACAAAAUUGUUUAAAAUAAACUCAAAACGUAAGCCCAAAUAUUAAGCCCAAAACCUUUGAAUCCAAUGAAAUUUACCUGCCCAAAUGAUCUCAAUUAAGUUUGCAGUUCAACCACCAAAAGAAGAUGCUUUAAAACAAAGGAUGACUCACAAUUCCAAUAAACAAAGGACACCAAAAUCUACAAAAGAGGAAGCCAGAAUCUGCUAAAGAAGUACUCCUAAAUCUACCAAUUAAAACUUCAAGGCCAGCGACUAGAGUAAUUUUGACCUGCACAAAAUGUUACCAUCUGUCGAGAAUCAAUCCAAGACUAAAAGAGGAUGCAAAAAUUGAAGAAACCCAGAAAGUGAGUUUCUUAAACCCAAUGAGGAACCCGCGAAAUUCAAAACGAGUUAUGUUUGUAGCUUUGAUACCAUGUGAAUAAUACAAAUCAGUUUGAUAUAUCAAACCAAGGGGAAGAAUUAAGAGAUGGAGGAAGAAAACCGAUUGUAAGAGCCUCCAAAAGCUUAGGGUAAACAAUGGACCAAAUUAGUUUAUAUAUUAUAAGAAAACCUACAAAAUUAGGAAACUAAAACAAUAAGGAAGCUAAAUAUAAUAUUAUUUUAUAUUAUUAUGCUAUCAGUUUGCUAUUUUAGGGCUUUAAUUGAAUGAUGAACUUGCACUUGCUUAUCAUAGUGACAACUAUCAUCUACUCAGGCACCAAACAUGAUCUAUAUUGCGAACCGUAUUCAAAACUUAGAUUGGUUCUAACACAAACAAAAGCAUGAUGAAUCACAAACACAACAAUAUUCAUGGAUCAAUAACCCUGCAGAUUAUCGACUCAAAAUCAAGAAUUGGAGAAAAUUUCUCUCAAUUGUACAAGUUUUAAUCAAAAUCUAGCCAAUCAUAAAAGCGCUUACAAAAAAGGUGAAUACUAAACGAAAUAAUAAAAUCCUGCAAUAAGUCAAAUUCAAAUCAACUCAUAUUCGUAAAACUAAAAAUAACUAAAGAAAAAAGUUUAUGGGCACUUCAUUCCCCUCAUAAGACGUCAAGCGACAUGAUCCACAUGUUUGAAAAUAAUUAGCUACAGAAAUUUGCAGAACAAUAUACAGAAAUAGAACUUAUCGACUAAUUGAACCUCGUGAUAGCAAGAUGUCUUAAAGUGAAAUUGUCCGUCGAUAAUUAUUGCGACCUUUAUGGACAAUCACUUUUAGAAUACAACGAUCAUAAACCACUUGUACAGUAAUCACGAACGAUUUCUCAGAACUCUCAAGUGUACUCCAGAAAAAUAUGUAAAACUUGAGUAAAAAAAUUCUGAAUAUGAAAAAUUAUAAUUUCAUUUUUUGGUUUUUUUUUUUUUUUUGUAAACAGAUGGGGGUAUAUAUUGGCAGAACUGCCUCCACAAUGAUCUAGAAUAUUGGCAACCUUUACUUGCUUGUGGGUUAAAAAAUGUCAUACUAUACUAACUAAUUUAACCCAUUAAAUAAUUUCAAAAAUAAAAUAAAAAAUAAUUAUUUUAAUUAAAGAAGCCCAACAGCCCAAAAAGACUUUUUUUAUUAUUGCGUGGGAUGUGAUUCAAAUCCUCGACCUUCCACACAAAUUCCAUAUUUUUCACCACUUGAGCACUUCAUCUAAACUAAUUAUUUUUUUCAUAUAUUAUAUUUAUUGUAUAAAUGCCAAACACCAAAACCAACUCCCUAAUUACCUCUAUAAUAUCCAAAAUAAUCAAACUGACCACCAAUGUGCAAAUCGCCUUAAGAGCAUCAUGUUCAGCAACAUCAGUUUCCAUGAGUACUCUUGCUUCAGCAUAGACUUGAGAAAAACAAUAUAGUGAUAAAAUGACCAAGGAUUUACAAUGUUUAAAGUGAAAUAAUUAAUAUUACUCAUUUUCAAGACCGGAUUCUUUAAGCUAAAAACAUAUCUAACUUCGAACUUUUUUUUGUUAAGAUUUAUCACUUUUGAUCAAUCUUUUCACCACAAUGCACUAGUUUAAUUUCAGUAAAACUUCCUUCAUACCCUCUUAUGGAUAUCACAAAUUCUACCCUUGAUUCGUAGUCUUGUCAUUAUUUAUCACAUCACUGAAACAGAAAAACUUAAGAUGCUUGGUGAAUAAUGACAAAGUCCUUUCAUUUUCAAGAGAGCUAGGAUCAAAAUAUAAAGAGACUUUAGAAUUGCCAUGCUCUCCACAGCUCCAUAUCCUAGUUUUAGUCAAUUUGUUUCAGCCUUGCAAAAUUUUGAGGAGGUUUAUCAAAGGAUGAGAAGUAGGAGCUUCACACCCAAGCAUUCUUUGGUUGACGUUGAAUUUGAUGCGAAGAGGACAAAGAGGAGAUCACUUGAUACAUGCAGUUAAAACUAAAGUUCGAUCACUUGAAAAAUUGAUAAGAUUUUAGUAAAAUUUUACCAAACAAAUACUUAAUAUGCAUGCUACAAUAGUUAUUUAGCAGUGUUAGAAAAAUUACUUGAUGUAAUGAAUACACAUUAGGAAGUGGCAAGGCCGGUCCUAUGAUUGUCAGGGCUUGAGGCGAAGUCCAUAAAUAAGGCCCCCAAAAUCAACUUAAAUGCAGCGGUGUAUUAUGAAACGUAUUGCUAACUUAAAACUUAAUAUUAAAAACAAAUAUAUUAUACAAAAGAUUUAUAUUAUAAAAUAACAAAACCAACAACAUUUUAAACAAUUAGCUAAAUACUAUUCGCCUUGUUGUUUUAGAAGUAAAUACAUUAAUCAAAUCUGAAUAAUUUAGCUGCUCAACAAUUUCUUUCCCUGUUAAUAACAUAGACAGUCUAUUCUGCCAUGUGCAAUAUGAAUACAUUAGAGUUUUUAAUAUAGUUACUAUGUGCAUCUGUGCUAUUGCUCCUACAAUAACCAAUUAUAUAAAUCGAUCAGGCCGCAAUUCUAUGAGUUGACAAGUUAGGACAAGCCAUUGCUUACUUAAGAAGUAAAAUUUCAAUGAAGACCUUUGUUUUCACUAGUCGAAGGUCUUUUCUAAAAUUGAAUGUUUCCAUACAAGUGGAUAAAUUGCUCUUAUAUUAUGCAGUCUUCUUCAACAUAUAUACGCUAGAAUACUUGUAUGGUCUCUUUCUUAACAAUAAAGUUUUCAGCAUGCAUCCUCCAUUUGUCAGCUAUCUUGAAUAUUAUAAAACUUUAAAUCAAUGUUUCUCAUAUUACAGUCCCUAGUGAAGACAAAUAGAUCUUAAUUUCCUAUUCUUCAACUCCAUAUGAUCAAAUUUGUGUCCUCUAUAAUAAAAAAUCAUUGACCACGGUAGUCCUACAGCAAUAUAGAGGCUUAAGUCAGGAAAAUCUAAUUUUUUACUUUGGUUAUGGAGUACAAGGGUCAUAUUUCUCCUUUAAGAUGAUAUAUACAUAACGGUAACAUAUGCAUAAUCAUGCUUCAGUCUCCAGAACCAGUCUUAGACAAAUGAGUGGGUGCUUUUUGGGAGGUCAAGGAGGGAAAGAGAGACUACGCAAUGCUUUCAGUCUCUUCGCUCAGUAAGUUACAACAUAUUAAUUCUACUAGAAAAAAAUUAGAAGACAGAUACAGAGCAGUAUGCAAGAUAGCAAUAAACUAAACCUCUUAUAGUUAGUUACUUCAAAUUUUGCUCGUGCGACGAUUUUCUUGCCAUUUGCAUUUAAUCCCGCAAGCUGUAGCAGCCUGCUGCCUAUAAAUAGAAGAACAUCAGCAAGGAUAAAAUUAUACUUCAAUUAGACAGCAACAGAAUAAAAUAGAUGAUUGCCACUGUAUAUUGAUGAAAAAGCGAAUCAAAUUCUUUUUAUAUUCUCUUCUACUGGUUUAUUUUUUCAUGAUUUUGUUUUUAAUAUUAUUCACUAAUUUUGGUCAUUUAUAAAUCAAAACUUUUAGGGAUCAUAUCAUCACUGUUGCCUCCAGUCAGCUGUGUUAAUCAAACCCUAAUUCUCAAAAAUUUUCGAACAAGAUAAGAUGAGAAAAAAACCCAAAUUAAAGAAAGGUGAAAUUGUACUUUUGAAACAGCAAAUCUAAAUUUAUGGGAGUGGGACAAAUUGUAGGGAGAGACCGUCGACCGAGUGUCACGUGUGGUUGAGGAGCUUGGAACCGUCGCCUGCGGAGGGGGCUAUGGUGGAGAAUUCUGGUGACCCACGGUUUCCACCACCGAUUGACGGGUUGAGGAAUGAGGAGGAGAAGAACGAAUUGGAGAAGGAGCAGAAAGCGAUAACCACAAAAUGAAAAGAAGGAAGAUGAGAAAAAACGCACACUGAUUUUCCUUACUACAAUUCCAAAAUAAUAAUAAUAAUAAUAAGUCCAAAAAUAGGCCCCCAGUGGUUUUGGGCCUGAGGCGCUGGCCUCAUGGGCCUCGCCACAGGACCGGCCCUGGGAAGUGGUUCGAUAUUGUUCUUCACUUUUUAUUGCGCUACAUCAUUGAGUCUUAGAAGUCAAAUUUUUAUAUAUAAUUCAAAUUAUUCAAUUAUAACUAUACAAUUAGUUGCAUUAAUGAUGCAACAGCGGACUAAGGGAGUUUUGGCAGUUAUUAUUAUUAUUAUUAUUAUUAUUAUUAUUAUUAAAUUUCAAUCAUAAAACAUCAUUCACAUUGACGAAAGGCAAUAUGAACAAAGAAAUACAAUUAGUCCAUAUCAAAGAAACUUGAAAUAAAAAUAUAUGAGAUCUGACCAGUGGGACAUUCUUUUCCAUUUCAGGGAAUGAAGUGACACGGACCACCGGCAACCUCUCGAAGCAGAUCAUCUUAUUCGCCAAUGUCGUUACUAUCAUCCUUCCUCUAGGAGCAUUUGAGAUGUAGACAUUAUGUUGAGGAUGCAGUUGGAUGACCCCUCAAAAGAGGCACUUGCUACGGCUGAUCGCUAAUUGGCUGAUAGAUCACUCUUGAAGUGUGGAAAGAAUUCCACGUUUCAGGACAGGGUAGGACGGGACAAGUAGAGAUUAAACAAUUCUUAUUUAAUAAUCCCGUUUAAUUAUACCUUUAUUUUAAAUGUUAUUUUUAAUAUCAUAAAAUAUGAUUUUAAAUUAAAAUUAAUAUAAAAAGACUCUGAGUGGAUUCGAGAAAUUCGAGGUAGGAACCAUACCUGUUUACCAUCUGGGGCGGGGCAAUAAUGUUACCCGAGGACUAAGGAAGUUUUGGCACUUUGAAAUAGUCUAUUAGAGGAAAUCCCCCCAAUGGUCACCGAAUUUUGCCAAUUUUUCCUAGGAGGUCACCGAACUUCACUUCGUCCCUAAAUGGUCAUCGAACUUUGUCAAAAUCUCCUAUGAGGUCACAGAACUUAACUUCGUCCCUAAAUGGUCACUGAACUUUGCCGAAAUUUUUGAAGAGGUCACUCAACUUUUGCAAAAUGGGAUCCAUGUAUAACAAGUUCAGUGACCUCUCAGGGGCCUUUUGCAAAGUUCGGUGACCGUUUAGAGACGAAGUGAAGUUCGGUGACCUCUUAGGAGAUUUUGGCAAAGUUCGGUGAUCAUUUAGGGACGAAGUGAAGUUCGAUGACCUUCUAAGGGAUUUGCAAAGUUCGGUGACCAUUGGGGGGAUUUCCUCUAGUCUAUUAUGUUAUUUUUCUAUACUUAUAUUAAUUUUAAAAUUGGAGCUGAUGUUAUAGAAUAUAGGGACCUGAAAUUUCAUUUAGGUUAGUGAUUGGGUAGUUUUUAGAGGUUGACUCUUAUUAUUUUUUAUUUUUUUAGAAUUAAUUGUUUGUAUUUUCUCCAGUUACUUUAUUUAAAAUAGUAUCCGUGCUCGCUAGUCGUAUCAAUUCUACAUACAAUCAACAAGAACAUAAAUAUAAAUCAAUUUUUAGUAUUCAGUUGCAUUGAUAAGUAUUGAUCUGUCGAUUCAUUGUACACCUUUUAAACAACGAGUUUUGAUCCUUGUUCGCCAUGUUUCGCUCUUUGGGAUGCAAUAGUUAGUUAAUUAAUAAAGUCAAUAAACAUUUGAGAAAUUUUCAGUGAUAGAAAUUUCUUCUUAUAGUUAAUCUCGUAUGAAUAAUGUUAUUUACAAUCGCUUAGUAUCGUAGUAGUCAUAUGUAACAUACAUAUAGCGAUUAAUAAUUUGAAAUAUUAAUGUAGAAAUUUUUUAUUUCCUAAUGUAUUAAGUCAUUAAUUAUCAUAUGUAUAUCACGUAAGGCGACUAAGAUAGUGAGUAAUUGUAAAUAACAUUAUUAUAUGUUAAAAUCUGUACUGCUAUUUUAGUUUUGUAGUACGAAGUACAUAAUAGCUCAAUCAACCCAAACUCCAACCACUCUUCUUCUUCUUCUUCUUCUUUUAUUUUUAAUUUUUUAAUUUUUUAUCUUUUAUAGUCUAAACAAAACAUUGUACUGUUGAAUGGAACAUGUAUUGCUUCAGUACUACAAUGUACCAAACUUGGCUUGGGGAAAGUCAAUAAUUCAACCCCCAUAUAUUAAUUUUAUCAAAGUGCCAAACCAAUAGGAUUCGGACAACAACUUUUUAUAUAAAUAGAAAGGAUUCCAAGAACUAGACUCGUCAAUUUUGAAUCCCUAAAAUUGUCGACAACCCCGUAAAUGGGAUGGCUUGUACUGGAUCAAAUUGCUUAGAUCAUAUAAGAAUACAAUUCGACGAAGAUAAAUGAUGAUCAUAGUCCAUUGGUGACUUUGGUGUAGAGGCACAUCAGCGGCGUGGCUACCACCAUUUAUGGUAUCAAAAUCAAGCUUCUAAUUUCAAAAGAUGGCCAUGGAGGUUCCUUGAUAAAUUCUCUGGCCGGAGGUAUUUGAAGGGUUUAGGCUCAAUCUUGAUACCAUCAAUGGUGGCGGCACUGCCCUUCACGGGCUGCAUUACAUCGACACCCUAUCAUUAUAGUUAGCUCCAAAUUUAUCCAAUUCCUCAGGUUGCUAAUCCAAAUUAUUAAACCAGGUAAUCCUUUUUACAAUUUUCUGUGAUUUUUAAUUUAGCAGGUAUG
rnacentral:lncRNA from 1 species